rnacentral:rRNA from 1 species
GACGAACGCUGGCGGCGUGCUUAACACAUGCAAGUCGAACGGUGAAGCUCCAUCUUUCUGGUGUGGAUCAGUGGCGAACGGGUGAGUAACACGUGAGCAACCUGCCCCUGACUCUGGUAUAAGCUCUGGAAACGGCGUCUAAUACUGGAUACGAGAAGGGUCCGCAUGGGCACUUUCUGGAAAGUUUUUCGGUUGGGGAUGGGCUCGCGGCCUAUCAGCUUGUUGGUGUGGUAAUGGCUUACCAAGGGUACGACGGGUAGCCGGCCUGAGAGGGGGACCGGCGAAACUGGGACUGAGAGACGGCCCAGACUGCUACGGGAGGCAGCAGUGGGGAAUAUUGCACAAUGGGAGAAAGCAUGAUGCAGAGACGCCGCGUGAGGGAUGACGGACUUCGGGUUGUAAAGCGAUUUCAGAAGGGAAGAAGCGAAAGUGACGGUACCUGGAGAAGAAGCACCGGCUAACUACGUG